CGGAAAGUGACUUUUAACAUAAGCCCUGGCACUAUGCCAGGGACUGCCCAUAGUUUAUCUAAAUGAUGCUCCACAAACCUGUACAGUGAGUAUUUCUAUCCAACCUCUGUUAGCAAAUGAAAAAAUGGAGAUUCAGAAGGUUGAGAAAUUUAUGUAAAAUCACACAGCUAGUAUGAGUUCAAGCCAGAACGUAAUACCAAAAGAUUCCGAUUCCAGAGUCCACUUUCCUCCAAUUCCAUCACUAGGAUUCUGAUGCAUCACAGUGCAAUUCCCUGCAUUUACCCAUUCCUUCCACAAUGCCUUAUUUCACCUCUACUACAUGCAUCGGGCUGAGCCUGCACCUGAAUAUGUUCUCCUUCCUUCCAGAGGAUAGACUAUUUGGGGCUAUGGCUGGUCGUCUGCAGUGACUCUGAUCUCGAGAGCUGGGGCACACUACACAGCUUGUAUGAUAAUGCCAUGCAGAAGCAGAGACACAUCCCUGAUGCACAUAUCCCCCCUGCUGUCUGCACUCCCAAGGAGCAGCACAGGACAGACUACGAGGAGCUUCUGAGGAAGGCUCAGCCUUGGGCAAAGUCAGAGUAUUCUGCAUCUUCCAGCCCAGAAUUUGAUGGGUGUCUUCCUGGUCUUCCCUGAUGUCUGUGAUGUCAGCAGUGCCAGCCUGUU
rnacentral:lncRNA from 1 species